ensembl:lncRNA
AAAAAGAGAACUUAAUUCUUAAAUUUCCUUGGUGGGUUAUCCCUGGCUAGGAAUUACCCAUAGGAAAAAGAACCCAGGAUCUAGAAGUUUCACUGGAGAAUAUCAUGCAAAUCACGUAGUUCUCUGGGGUGUAAUUGAAUCAUCUUGGAUUUGAAAUACCCCUAACUCUGAAGCACUUAAGAAUGUCAUUCAGAGACCUUCUGUACUUUGGACUAAAAGGACAUACCAAGCUCAAGCUAAAAGGACAGCAGAAGCUGAGGAGCUACAGUCAGUAUAUUAUUUGGGUUGGUUCAAGGAGAAAAAUCCUCGGGAAAGAUAUGGCUCUAGUCACAUUAAAAUUGAAUCUGUAUUACUUGGGGAUUUUAUUAGAGUGUGGAUUCAUAUUCAGUUAAUCUUCUAUAGAGCUGGAGCCUGUAUUUCCAAUGAGUUAUAAGAUAUAAAGGCUAUCUGCACCAAGGCAUCAAUGAGAAGCAAUGGUCAGAAAUUUUGUUCAAGUAAAAGAUGGUUUGUUCUUCUGAGGACUAUGUGAUAAAAGAAUUGCAUAGUGAUGAGCACCUAUUCUUCAUGGGUAGACUGGAUUUCUGAUGCCAAUUUCCAGUUCCUCUGACCUGGAAAAGACUAAUAAUAAUAUCCUUGGAACUAAGGGACUAGACCUUCUUCUGAUUUGGGAGAGAGGAAGAUGCUGGAGAUUUGAUAAUCCAUCUCUGAGACUGGGACAGUGAACUCACCUGGGCUAUAUACAUCAGAAUCACAGAGAAUGCUGUUGAGAUAAGAAGUCGCAAAUGUAAAUGUUGACCCAAGUGCUACUUUGCAGUAAGAUGCAGAACUCAACUGACCUCCAGGAGGCACAAUCACCACAGCACAUAUGUGGCAUUCAUAAACCUUAGAAGAAAGAAGAAGUUUCAGCUUCUUUUACAAAGGAAAUACCUGGUAAUUCAUCAGGAAUGAAUGAAGAUAUAAGAAAAGUGGAAGGAUCUCCUAAAUUCUGAGAAUGGUCUUGGGAUGGAGGACACUACUACAACAUAAGUCAGGGAGUCAUCUGAUCCCUUGACUGUAGCUGGUUCAAGCCACCAGCCUGCUCUAUCUAUUUCAUAAGAGUACUUCCAGAAUAUAUGCUUCAGCAUCUGACAGGGUUUAAAAUUCAUUUUUGACACAAACUGAAACACAGGGAAAUAGUAGCCCAGGGGAGGUUGUUUGAGUAGGACCAUCCAAGAGCCUUGGGCAUGAUAUAGGGGAUAGUUGAACUCCAUAAUGCUAGUUGAUACACUAGAUUGCCUUCCCUUUGUUCCCUUUACUGGCCUUGAAGAAAAGGCCAUGUCAGAAAAAUCCAUGCUACAAGGAACUGAAAGUGAAAUUUGCACAAUAGCUUCCUGCAGCAAGAAACUGAAAUCUCUGAAGUGAAAACAAGGAUUCUGUUCACAGUCAGAGGGAGCUUGAAAGUAGAUAAUUUCUCAAUUGACCCUUUGACAAGAGCUUAGAUCUCAACCCUAAUCUACAGGUACGUUGCAGCCUCAUAAAACCUUGAAGUAGAAGACCAAUUCAAACAGUGCCCAGACCUCUGACUUACAGAAAUUGUGGAUAAUAAUAUGUCUUUUCAGCCACUAGUUUUUAAAAUUUGUUUUGUAGCAAUACCCACUGAAAAGAUUCAGCCUCAUCACAGUUGUUCUUCUAGCAUUUGCAGAAGUAUAUACAAGUAAAUUUAAAAGGACAUGAUAGGGACAUACUUUAAAUUUGAUCAGCCUAUCAGGUGACACCAUCUCUGCCAUUUCCAACUGGAAUAAUAGUGGUAGUUCUUCUCACUCUUUGACAAAGUGGAUAUGUGCAUUUUGGUGGUUUUCACUUGGCAUUUAUUGUCAUUAUAGGUCUUAGUCCACAAUUCAGGGAAUUAAUUUGACAGUUGCAGUAAUUACUUAAUACAUAUUUCUCAGUUCAGUGACAGAGACUUGGUCUUCAUAUACCCUGAACCUAUUCAGAAGCUGUGGUGGCAUUUGGGUACCCUAAUAUGUCAACCUCACACUGAUGACUGGAUAGUUAAAGGGCUAUUGUUUACAGUGUAAACAAGGCCUGAUUAUUUCUUUCUACUGAGAGUUGCUCUGGUAAACUGUCACAGGCCAACUGGAAAAAUGUUAAAGUGAGCAGUACUAUAUAUAUGUUCUGGAUGUUGCAUUUCCUUCCUCAAGAAGCUGUAAGUAUCUAUGUAAUUGACUGGAUCUUAACUGAGAAGCAAGACGAUUACAAAAAUGCGUUUGGAGUGGAGUUUCAUUGUAAUGGUUAAUAUUAUCUCUCUGCUCCCACAUUUUUAUUUGAUUUCUAAUUUUUAUUUUUUUUGUCUCUAUUGAUGUAUAAUUGACAAAUAAGAAUUAUAUUUAUUUAAUAUGUGCAAUGACAUCUAUAUGCGCAUACAUAUUCUAAAAUGUUCACCAUACUCAAUCUUAUGAAAAUAUCCAUCACUUCACAUAGAUACCAUUUUCCUCCUUUUAUUUAUUUUUUAAUGGUGAAAAUACUUAAGAUCCAUACUGAAAAGUACUGAAUUGGACACUUGAAAUUUCUAACUCUAUUUACUGUGGGGUACAUUAGAUUUCCAGAAAUUUUUAUCUUGCAUAACUGGCAUUUUGUAACCUUUGGAGAGAAACAAGAAGAAUUUUACCUCUUCCUUUUCUGGUUGAGAAAUAAACUGAAACAAGUCAGGUCAAUAGGAGAAAAGUAUGCAGAUUUAUUUAAUGCAGAUUUUAUAUGGCUUGGGAGUUUUUGUAAAGAAGCAAAGAACCAAAGAAACAGAGUUAACCAUUUGCAUACUGAGUUGGACAAAGGAUAGUACUUUGAGAAAAAGCAACUAAAUUAUGCAGGAAAGCUUAAAAGGUAAGCAUUAUUUUAAAAAAGGUUUUUGCUGAAUCCUCUUGGUCUUGACUUCUGUCAGUAACAAUGCUGCUUUCUUUCUCAUGAAAGGAAGGCAGCUUUCACAUCUGGUGUCCCCUCUAUUCCCCUAUUUCAGACCCAGGAGCUGGCACCUGCUAGUCAAAUGCUUAGACUCUGAGCCACACUCCCAGCCCUUUUGGAGAUAAGGUCUCGCUGAGUUACUCAGGUGCCUUCAAACUUGCAAUCCCCUUGCUUUAGCCCCCUGGGUAGUUGGAACUAGAGUGGUGUGCUACUGCAUCCAGCAUACGUCUGUUUUUGAGAGGCUGAAGGUGAAGAUGAUCUUGCUUCUGCUCUUUUAAAAUUACCUUGAAUUCUACCUAGUCAAAAUUUCAGAGUGUGCAUUUUAAACUCCAUUAUGUUUGACUGGGAACUAUUUAUGUAUUCUCUGCAACCACCAUUCUAGUCUCUGCUUGUAGAUUCCUCAUAAAGUGAAUUCAUGUCCUACUUGUCUAUCUCCUACCAUAAAGCCCUCUAGUUUCACUCAUAUUGUCAAAAAUGUUAGAGUUUUAUUUUUUAAGGCUGAGCAGUAAUUAUAGUAAUCUCUGUCUCCCUCCAUUCUUCCUCCUCUCUGUCCCUCUACCUUUCUCUUUCCCUGCAACUUUCUUUCUCCCCCUCCUCUAUCUCUCUCUCUUUCUCCACACAUAUCAUUAUCCAUUCAUCUGUCCAUGGACAGUUAGGUUGGUUCUAUAUCUUGGCUAUUUUAAGUAAUGCUACAGUGAAUGUUAACUGCAAUUUUAAAAAUUUGAUAUAUGUUUAAUUUAGAAAAAUCUGUAAGGAUAGUACAAAGAUCUCUUACUCCUUACUACUGUGUACUCCAUACUUAGAUUCACCAGUUGUUGUAUUUUGCCUUAAUUUAUGGUUUGUUGUUUUUCUGUGUGUACAUGUGAUAUUUCUUCUAGAUCAUCUGUGAUCAAGUUGAAGGCAACAUGCCCUUUAACUGAGUAUGUUAUUGUGCACUUAUUAAGAACAAGUAUAUUAAUAAUCAGAGCACAAUUAUCACAAUGAAAAUUACAACAUUGAUAUAAUUCUAUGAUUUAAUCCAGAGUUCAUGUUCAUGAGUGAUCUCAAUAAUGUUUCUCAUAUGUAUUAUGUUUUCAAGUUUAGGAAAUAAUCUAAAAAACAUGCACUGAAUUAAGAUAUCCUGCCCUCUUAGUCUCUUAUGCUAUGAAAGUUCACUAGGCUGUACUUGCCUUUCAUGAACUUAGUUUUCGUGAAAAAUAAAAGGUACUUCAUUUGCAAAAUGUCCCAUCAAUUCAGUUCUUUCUGAUGUUUUGUCAUGAUAAAGGUUUAAAUUAUCCCAUUUUUUUUUUAGAAAUAAAACUGAAGAGGGUGAGAUUCUUAUUAGGUUAUUAUACCAGGAAGUAUGUAAGAUCAGUCUGUCUUUGUAUUAGUAAUGGUAAUUUUGAUCAUAUGACUAAGGUGGUGUCUUCCCAUAAAGAUUUUUUAACUGUAAAUUUAAAUUUUUGUCCUUUGUUUUUAUGUAAUCUGUGGGAAGAUAUACACUUAACUAUGCAAUUGUUUUCUUCCUCAUUUAACUUGCUCCACUAUUUCAAUAAGUUUUAUCAUUACUUAUUUUCAUGCUAAAAGUGGCUUAAAUUUGGCAGCAAGAACCCCUUCAGAUGAGUCUUUUAUUGUCUGACAUUUUUCUGCCAUUUGUUGGCAUUUUCUUAUUUUCUGGAAUAACAAAGUUUUCCAUUCUCAUUUGCUUUUGUUUCCUUAGUCCUAAAAUAAGCUUUUAAUUAAGGAGAUUUGGUUUGUUUUAGUGGAGAAGGUUUUCAGAAACAAACAUUUGGCCUCUAGAUGCUUUCAUUGUUACCAGUAUGUAAUUGCUUAUAGAUUUUCUAAACGGGCAAAAUAAGGAAACAUACACAGGGAUGGUAUUUCCCUUGUGAGGCUGUGCUGAGACUUGCCCUUGGUUAUUAGUCUACAAUUAGCAGGAGAAAUGGUUUUCUGAGAAUCAUGAGGAUAAGUUUUCAAGAUUUAUGUGUUAUUUGAGAACUUUGCUUAUGAUCUUAGUUUUAAACGUCAAUUUCUUUGUUAAAUAUGGUAACGAAAAAAAAUUGUAGUGGAUUCAUAAUGAUAGAAUUAAAAAUUAGCUAUUUUUCUUCCUGCAGUCAGAGCUGGAAAGUAUUUCCCUACAUGUCCUUGGAAUCACAGUUUUACAGUUAUUAGAAAUUAAAGAAAUGAGCCUUAAAAUUGUCUUAGUUUCAAGAAAGCACACCAACAUAGAAAAUGUUAUUUGCCUACAGUCUUGAAUUAUGACAUACGAAUGUCUGAGUUGAAAGUAGAAUAUAGUUUUUUUGGCUGCAUAAUUAUUUUCCAUUCAUUUGCCUCACAGAAGACCCCGUAUAUUAUGUACCAAAUGAUUGUGUGACUUUGAGAGAAAUAUUACUUUAUAUUACUGGUACAUAAGCCAAACAUAACCUUUUCUGCUUCAUAUUAUUAAGUGUCUGAUUACAAAGUCACACAUCCUAAUUCUGGGUGGCACUGGAUGUCAAUAUGAUAUAUAUCAUCUGGAUACAAAGGGAAAAUGCAGUUGGCAAUUGGGUUGCUGGUCCAGUUAUAAAGAUGUAAACACUAUGAGUAGCUGAAGUUUUAUUUCUGCGUCAUUCUGGUCCUACAUGUUCUCUGCAGUCAUUUUAAUGUCAUUGGGCAAUUUUCUGCCUCCUCUCCAGAAAAAUUGAUGGCAAUAUAUUUAUAGUGAAAUCUCAGGAGCCAAUUUUAUUUUUAAUACCCACAAAUACUCAUUUCACAUUUGCUCUAUAAAUCUUUGUUUUUCUUGUUUGUCUAGAGUUCUCUGACAUCACACUUUAGUGACUCCUUAAGUUUUCCUCCUACCUGGUAAUACUUUUUGCUAUGGCUCUCCAAGGACCAUGAGAGUAUCUGGGAAAUUUAACUGGUAUGUGGAAAAACAGCCUUAAAAAUUUCUAGCAACAAGGUUAAUUGGAUUAGAGGUGACAGACCUGAGUUGUAUAUUUUAAAAAGCAAAGCCUAGAUAUAUAUUGAUAGACUUAAAAUAAUUUUAAUGUUACUCCUUCUGUAUUGAUAUUACUUAGGCUCAUGACACAUUUCUAGUCCCAAGGACAGCAAUUUUAUCACAUACAUACAGGAGUAUGGAAUAAUUUUUGGGUUAGGUCAGUGUAUAUAGUGGUUUCAAGUUUGUAAAGAUUCUUUAUUUUAACCAUAAUAGCUAAGGAUAUAUUGUUUACACUAACUUUUGAAUAUUACAGAUACAAGCAUAAGAUCCCAAGCAGAAUUUUUGCUGUUUCUUUUUAAUACAUGAGCAUGGUUCUAGAUGAAAACAGAGGAAUUUUAAGGAGAACAAUGAACAGUUGGAAACAUAAAUAUUUUUCAGGAUUUAAGAGGCUCUUCAACAUGAUUUGCCACGCCUAAACAUUAACAAAACUAUCUCAUCCCUUAUUCUAAUCAUUCUUUGCCAGUUGCAGAAAAAAAGGAGGAUAAAUAUGUAAAUGAUACGCCUGAAUUUAUGUAAGAAGGAAGUAUGUUCUUUUAUCACCAAACCCUUUAGUUUCUGUCUCCUUAAAACAAAAGCAAUCACCAUAUAAUUAUCAAAACCAGGCAAUUUAACAGUGGUUUAACACUAUUUUCUAAUCCAAAUUCCAUAUUGAAAUUGUAUCAAUUGUUCCAAUAAUACCUUAAUUUUAUUCUUAAUUUCUCACUAGGUAAUCCAAUGUAGGCUCAUUCAUUGUAUUUAUUUGCUAUAUGCCUUUAAUGUGGAACAAUUUGGCAAUACUCACUUUUCAAAACUCAUAUUUCUAUCUUAAAUAUGGCAAUGUCUUACAGAAUACUUUCCAAUGUGAUUUUUCUGAUAUUUACUCAUAAUUAAUUUCAGCUAUUGCAUUUUUGGUAGGAAUAUCAUGGCAGGGCAUUUUGUCUUGCUGAAGGCACCAUGUAAGAGGCCUAUAAGACCAGUUUGUCAUUAUGUUAGUGAAAUUAAUUUGACCAUGCAUUUAGAUGUUCUGCGUCAAGGUUUUUCCUUUUAAAGUCACUAUUAUCUCUUCAUAACUGUUAAAUGAUGCAUGGGAGAGGCUUUGAUACUAUGUAAAUACUACAUUUCUUCUCACACUGUGCUCUCAAUCAUUUUAAUAUUCAUUGAUGAUUUUCUAACUCCAUAAUUGCUUCUAUAGUUCUCUAUUGGCAUUCUAAUACCAACAACACUUAUUUAUUUCUGCAAGGCUACAAGGGCCUUUAUUUUAUUCAGUGGUUUUUAACUCCAUUAUGAUUUGAUAUUCAAAGUAUUCUAGAUUGGUCAUCUUGAGCAUAUCUAGACAUUUGAUACUUUUUAUGUGUUCUUAUCACUGUUUGAACACAUUUUUCUAUUGUUGUGUAAGAUGUACCAGGAAUAGCAGGCUGCCAUAGAACUGCUCCCAGCACAGAGGAAGUGUGCCACUUGGGUGCCAGCAGCACACCUUCCCCCCUCACCCCAUCGAAAUGAGAAGACAGGAAAACAAGCCUCAAAAUCAGACUUCCAGAUCACCUACAGCAACCCCAAAGGGAAACAAGAUGGAACAAUCUGAUACUCAACCAUCUGGAUUCUCUGAACUGGCAACAAAAGAGGAUCUGGAAAAAAUGAAAUCAGAAAUAAUUUCUCAGAUAACAGCAGAGAUUGUGCUCAUAGUGCAAGACAUGAUUAAUAAAUCUAGAGAGGAGCUCAGGAACAUGAUGGAAUCCCAACAUAGGAAACAAAUGAAAUCCAUAAAACAGAUGCAAACAGAUUUCCAGGAGAUUAAAAACUCCAUUGAAAGCUCACACAGCAGAAUGAGCCAAUGUGAUGACAGAAUUACAGAUAUAGAAGAUAAGAUUGCAAUUAGUGACCAGGAAAAGAAAAAUUGCUUUAAAAUUGUAAGGGACCAUGAGAAAUCAAUCCAGCAGGUGCUAGACGAUGCAAAGAAUAAUAACAUAAGACUGAUCAGAGUCAAUGAAGAAACAGGAGAGAGUGCAGAUGACAUAAAAAAAUUUUCACAGAAGUGAUGGCAGAAAACUUCCCAAGCAGUGGAAAAGAACUGGACAUACAGAUAAGGGAGGCAUACAGGACUCCAACUAGCCUUGAUCAAAAAGACCUACACACAGGCAUAUAAUAGUUAGGAUUCCAGAAACCCAACAGAAGAACAAAAUUCUACAAGCAGUGAGAGAAAAGAAACAAAUCACAUACAAAGGAAAGCCAAUUAGAAUCAUGGCAGACUUCUUAACACAAACCCUCAAGGCAAGAAGAGCUUGGAGUGAUGUAUUUCAAGCCCUAAAGGAAAACAGCCUCCAACCCAGAUUGAUGUACCCUGAAAAACUCUUUCAAAUUGAUGGAGAAAUAAGAUAAUUUUAUGACAAAGAGCACCUUAGGAACUUCAUGAAUACCAAACCAGCACUAUUUUAGACAAUAUCCUAGGAAAAGACAACGAGGAUCACAACCGCAGGAAGGCCAGCAGAAUGAAUCCAUUGGGUGUGUCAAGAAAUUAAAUGCAACAGGGGAGAAUGCAACCAAAAGAAAAAUUCAUGACAAUGGUAAGUCAAUACAUAUCAGUUAUAACUAUCAGUGUUAAUGGUCUCAAUUCACCAUUCAAAAGAAAUAGACUGGCAGAAUGGGUUAAGAAGCAAGAUCCAACAAUAUGCUGCAUACAAGAAAGACACUUAAUUCAAAAAGAAACUCAUAGAAUGAAAGUUAAAGGAUGGAAAACAAUAUUCCAUGUGACUGGAACACCCAAAAAAGCAGAAGUAGCUAUCCUCUUUGCAGAUCAAGUAGAUUUCAACCCAAAAUCUGAAACACUUCUGGUCCCAAGAAUUUCAGAUAAGGUAUAAUCAACUUGUAUGUAUGAAUCUAUUGUGAACAUGUGUUUUCAUUCCUCUUAAGCAAAAACUUAAGAACAGAACUGUUGUUUCUUAACAGUAAUACAAGUAAUUUCUAUGUUGUUUUCCAAAAUAGUUUUAUCAUUUUACAUUCACAUUAGCCAUAUUCGAAAGUUCUAACUGGUUUGCACUUAUGCUGAGAGCUGUUCUUUUAAACUUUUGACUUCAUCUCCCUAAUAAGUGUAUAAUACGAUUUGUUACUGUACUGAUUAGUAUUUUUCUGAUUCUAGUGUUGCACACAUUUCCUUGUGCUGUACUGGCUAAUUAUCAUCUUCUUGUGUCUAUUUUUUAAUUGGGUUGUCUAUUAAUGAGCUGUAAGAGUUCUUUAUAUAUUCUAGCCUUAGGUUAUAUGUUAUAAAUAUGGUCUACUUUUCAUUAAGUACUAUUUUUCAUUUUCUUUAUGAUGUCAUUUAAAGUUCUAAAUUUUGAUGGAAUCUCAUUUAUGAUUUGUCCCGGCCCGCGGGUAAGUCAACGGAGACCCUAGAGGGGGAGCAAGGAUGAGAGGGGACAGGGGACACGAGAGAUGGAGACAAGACAGGUUUCUGAUCAAGUCUCGUUUAUUGCGGAAGCUGCUACAACAUAUAUACCGUAGGGCAAGAGGGGAGGAGCAAGAGGAGUGUACUGGGGCUACUUCCUUGUUGCCGGGUAGAUCUGCAACAAGCCCGGGCAUGUCCGUAAUAGGCACUCAAGAGUGCCAGCGGGGGGGGCAAGGCCCCCCACAAUGAUUUUAUUCUUUUAUACAUCAUGUUUUGUAUCCUAGGAAAUUCUUGCCUAUCCUAAGUUCAUAAACAUUUUCCCUUAUAAUUUCUUCUUAAAGUUUUAUAGUUUUAGUCUUUUAUAUUUAGGUUCAUAGAUUCUUUCAAGUUAUCUUUAUGUAUGGAAAUAAAGGGUUGAGGUAAUUUUUUACAUACAGAUAACGGGUGUUCUGGUACAAUUUGCUGAACAUACUAUCUUUUCCUCUGCUCUUCAGUUGAGAUUAUGUUCUAUAAAAUGUUAAUGUUAAGUAAUCUUUAAAAACUCAGUGGACCAUAUAUGUGUGGUUCUAUUUCCAGGUUUUCUGUUUCAUUCCAAUGAUCUAUGUCUUUCCUUAUGCCAACACUGCCUUGAUUACUGUAGCUUUAGAGGAUGCCUUAAAAUUAGGUUAUAAGGGCUGGAGAUUUAGCUCUGUGGUUCUGCUGCCUGCCUCACAAGCACAAGGACCCAAGUUCAAUCCCCGGUACCAAAAAAAAAAAAAAAAAAAAUUAGGUAAUAAAUGUCUUCCAACAGUUUUUUUCUUUUUUCUUUUUACUUUUCUAGGUCCUUUGUACUCCAACAUAACUUUUAAAUUUCAAUAUUCAAUUCUUCAUUUAUAGCAAGUAUACAUAGAACUGAAUUUUUAUAUAUACCUUGUGUUUUCUAAUCCUGCUAAAUUCAAAUACAAGUUCUAGGGCCUCCUAGAGAUUUCCUAGUAUUUUCUCUGUAGAUGAUCAUUUCAUCUACAUACAAAGAUUCUACUUCUACCUUGCCAGUCCUAUGCUAAUUGUUUCAUUUUAUUGCCAGACUAUUUUUUGUUUCGGCCUAUGUUUCAAAGUUUAAUGGACAGAUGAAAAGUAGGCAUAUCUGCCCUUGUUCCCCACCUGAAGGAGAAAGCAUUGUAUCUUCUCCAUUCAUAUAAGGCAUUUUUGCUGAAGUAUGGAGUACAUGUCUUCUCCAUUGAGAAGGUUCUGUUCUACUUCUAGUCUCCUGAUAGCUUUUACCAUGACCAGCUAUAGAAUUUAGUCCAAUACUUUUUCUGCAAUUACUGACAGGAUCAUAUGGCUUUUUCCUUUCCUCUGUUAAAAUGAUGACUUAUGAGGGUGGAUCUUCCAAUGCUGAACCAACACUGCCAUCCCUAUAAUAAAAUCACUUUCUACAUACUGCCAGAUCUGACUUCUAAUAGUUUGUUUUAUUAAAAAAAUUUAUCUAUAUUCAUACUUUUUUGUUUUAUUAUCUAGUUUUAGUAUUAGCACAAUGUUGAUUUCCUAAAAUGAGGGGAGAAGUGUUCCUUCUUUUUCCUGCUUUAAAUGUUUGAUAUAAUUCAUCAGUUAGAAUGUAUAUGAGUCUGUUGUUGUCAUAUAAGUAGGUUUUCAAGCUAGGAAUAUACUUUCUUUAAUAGGUGCUAUUCAAAUUUUAUAUUUCCUCCAGAGUGAGUAUCAUUAAUUUGUCUUCCAAGGUACUUCUUAGAAGUUGUCAAAUUAAUUUCAGAAAGGAUUUUUGUAAUAUGCUUUCUAUAGCCUUUUAAAUUCUAUAAAAUCUGUGGUAACGUCCUCUAAAUUUUGAUAUUGUAAUAAAAAUGUAUAAUUGAUACUGUGUAAUAAAAAGAAAAGGUCUAAAGGAGUAGGGGAAGUAGGAGGGGUAGGGGAAAGGAAAGAAAGAAAAAGAAAAAAUAUGAGAAAAGGAAAAAAAAAGGAAACAAAGUCUUUGCAAAUAGAGAAGGGUGGAGGG